GGCAGUUCUUGGGUGAUGCACCCCUGAAUUUGGCUCCCUCCCCUCUGGUUCCCGGUGCAUCACCUGAGAACCACA
rfam:Myotis davidii contig173691, whole genome shotgun sequence.